AAUACCGCCGAGUGGAUACAGAAGCCAGGCGGACGGUGCUGUGGUGUCACUUAACGGCCACCCUAUUAAGUCGUUAACUACAAUAAAGAAGAUACAUUUAUUUAAUGACAGAGACUCUCUAAAGACCAAAUAAUUAUGUAAAUACUGACAAGAAUUGGAUUAAUGGACAAGAAUGAAGACAGCAACAAAGAGAGAGAAGCAGCUGAGACAUGUGGAGAAACAUGCAAAGAUACAGGCAGAUGAUAUGAAAGAGGAACCAGAGGAAACCGGUCACUCGCAAAGGUUGGCUGCAUGGGUGCCGACAAAAGAAGGCUGCUCUCAGCUGUCUUUUCAGUGACCCACUGAUGUGAACCACCGCCACUUUCCAGUUUUCAUCAACAUCAGCGGUGCAAUGGGUCCUUCCAGUGAGCUCAUCAGGAAUCCUGCUUCAGAUCGCAUCCACUCAGAUUUUCUGCUUGGCUUGUUGUUCACUCUUUCACCACCACCCUGAAAAUGAGGACGUCUAAGGCCUCCACGACAUCAGCAUCUAAUUACAAUUUGUAGACAUUCACAAGGAGGUACACAACAUACAUUAGGGUUUACAGUGUCAAAAUAAGGCAGGGGUGAAGAUAUAUCACUUUGGGGGAUGUUUUAAGUUAAAAGUGUUUGUUGAGUAAUGUUUUUUUUUUACUAAAAUUAUGUGAAAUAUCAGUAUACAAAUCAGGAUGUAGAGAGUUUACACACAUUUUACAAAACACAGCAGACUGUAGACAUUCCAAAAGUCACCCCAGUUUUCCUGUGAAUCAUACAAAAUAUCUAAAGACUCAGAAACUUUAUCUCAGCAGCUUUAUUUACAGAUCGCGUGCUCUCUACCAAACACCGCUACAAUCAGUUCCCCAGCAGUUCUGACACCUGGAAAAUUAAAUGUCAGAUUUUUUGUUGUAAUUCUGAUGGGCAGAUGCUGUACAAAGAGCUAAUUAAAACUGUACAGGGAGUUCAGCAGCAAAUAAUUAAUUGCAUUAUUACUGUACUGUCAGAUUGUCUAUUUAAUAAUUCUCACUAUAGAACAAAUGAAUUCAGAGUCUCUCUCAAAAAGCAGCAGCAUUUUCACAACCUCAUACUCAACUUCCACUGCAGCACGAUCUCUUCAUCCUCUCUCUGUCUUUGUCUUUCUCUCCUUCAAUCACACACACACACACACACACACACACAUACAAACAGUAUUUUCUCUACUCUGGUAUUUCUUCUCUAUUGCACACAGAUUUAUAAAGAAAAAACUACAAGCUUUGAUGUGAGGCAUGUUAAGGACUGGUUGGACAUUUUGAGCAACCUUAAGCAAAUGAAUGUUUUGGCUCAAUUAAUUUCACAGUGUCUCUGGCAAGGACAGGUGUAAAUGAAACCUGACACAUCAAAUCAUCAUCAACAGUCCAAAUCCAGGAAGGGGAAGGCAUAAACACACUAGCAAGCUAGCAUGUACACAGGGACACACACUGUCAGCUGAAGUGUGAAAAUGACUGUACAGCAUUAGCAGCAUUUGGCUUGGUAUGUCCAUGUAACAGGUAUGUGCAACUAUGCAGGUGGUGGAGUCAUACAUUGGCAGAAACUUCACACGCAACACAUUAUUAUUGAAGACAUCAUAUAUAUGGGAAUUAUGUCAUGAUAGAUAAUGUAAUAUAAUGUAAUUGCAAGUUGUCUUAAAUGGUUUAAAAUGACACUUAAAUUGUGAUUAUAGACUCUGUAAUUGAGCCUUUGUAAAUGUCCAAAAUGCCCACUUGAGCUGUUCAACUCAACCAUUUAUUUGAUGUGUGCUUUUAUAGGUCCAACUGCAAAUAUACAAAAAAUACAUGGACUGGUCUGUUCUCUUUAGGCACAAAAGCUGCCCCUACACAAAUCAUAAAUAAUCAUUCAGUCUAUUGAACAAGAUUUAUUCAAAAAAUACAGUAUAAAUAAAUCAUAACCAUUAUGAUUUUUCUCACAGAAGCCACUGAAAUUUCCAUCAUCGAGAUCAUGUCUUCUUUAUUUUGGUUGGAUGUUGAAGUUUAAGCAGCCUGUGCAUUUUUGGUAGAAAUCAGGUGUGAAAAAUAUUAUGAUAAAUGACUACAUCCAUGUAUAUUUUGAAAUGUAGCCCUCCUAUUCCCUUAUGUCAGAUCCUGUGUUGUAUCUGGCCUUAUACAUAAUAUUGUAAUAUUUUGGUUUAAAGAAAAUUGGCCCAUAUUUGAGCUAUAAAAUAAAGUUAACAUUUGGAAAAACAAUGUCACAACAAGGGUCACUACUUUAGGGCUACUCAUCCAUGUUGGCUUAAAAGUUGAGAUUGAAAGUUCAUUCUUGACCUUGGAAACUGCACAGAACUUUAAAAGUAAACAUGGACCAUGAGUCUUGAAAACGUUAAUUUUAACAUCUAUUCUAACUGUUGUCUGUAACUGUUUUAUCAACUUCUUUUUCCAAGGUCAAGAAUGAACUUUUAAUCACAAAAUCAACACACAAACAUAACGGAAUAUAUGUGAAAGUAUAGACCCCUGCUUUCCUCACACCUAUGCUCAUAACAUUUACAUAAAAAUUACUUUAUACUCACUUUAUAGGACAUAUCUGGAAAUGAUCAAAUUGUAAAACCAGAAGGCUACUGGUUAGUCAAAUAACACUUAAAUAUAUAACUAAUAUAGCCUGUACCAAUAUAAAUGUUCUAAAGUAUAAUCAGCUGACAAUAUAUCAGCCAUAUAUAUUUUUUACAUAAACACAUACAUAAACCAAAAAAAUCUUUUGAUGAGAAGAAAAACAUUUGAUCAUUAAAUAACUGUAACCAAGUUACUGUAUAUGGUGAACAAAUAAAUGUGUCACUUCUAAUCUCAUAUAUAUUGGUCCAGCUAAUGUUGUAGUCUAGCUGUGAUAAAAGACAUAUUCAAGGCCUAAUAAGGACAUGGGUCCUGGAUGAGUAUUUCAGAAAUACUAUAGUGUUUGCCCUGUUUACACUGACGAGAAAAUAAAGGUUGUAAUGGUAUAAGGUCACCUUCCAUGGCUAUACUGAUAAAUUAGCUCAAAUGCAUUUUUUGCUGAGGUGGAGAGAGGUUCAAGGACAGUGAGGGACUUUCAGCCAAUCCUUCCUAAAUACCUAGGAGGUGCCCGAUGUCUCAAUGAGAAAACUACCUAAAAGUCUAAUUUGGGGUGAAAAUGCUCCAGGGGCAAACUGCAAUACUGUAGGAGCAUAAACUCAUCACAGUGCAGAUUUUAUGUCUGCUGUCAGCCUGUGGUGCAUGACGGUGCUGCAUAUUGCUCCAUGUUUUGUUACAUUCACUUGUCUUCAAAAAGCAGAGAUUUGUGCCCAGUGGGGAGGUGAGAGAGAGGAGAACUCGACCAUGCCAAAACAGACAAAGACCAGUCUGGAAUCUCUUGUGGCAGUGAGGGAAAAAUGCCAGACAGGAUAAAAUAAAAAAUAAACAACCUUCUCUUUCUUGGACCUAAAUGGUUUGGGAAAAGCCUCAAAGUCCUUCACAGAAAACACAAUAUCAAAAAAAUCCCAAAUAAAUCAAUAAACAGACACUCAAACAUUUGACAGUACUUUUUGAUUUUGUAUUCCCAAAGACCUUUCUCCUUGGUACAGACAAAAAGAAUUCCUGUGCUGUUUUUUCUUUGCCUAGCACUCGGAUAAAUGUUAAGCUUAUUUCAAAAGGCUCCAUGAUUAAACAUCCCGCUAAUCUUGGCGCGUUCUACAUAAAACUCCACAGAGCAUAAAUCCAUUUAUUGCUAAAUGUGAGCAGAGGCAAACAUAGAAAGAGGGGUUGCUGUUAAUUUUCAGGUCUGAAAUUGCAACUUUAUGAAGACGGGAAGCGUGUUUGCCUGUCACUACUCAUUGAGGUUAAAAAUGUGUAAAUUAGCAAUAUGGCUCAUCAGGCUGCUGCAUGUGGAUGAGUAAAAGAGAGAGAGAUAGAGAGAAAGAGAGACAGAGAGAGAGACUGUGUGUAAGUGAGUUUGUUUGGUUUGUGUGUCCUUGAGUCUAAGAACCACUGUAAAUACAUUAUAGCAAAUAGUUUUUACUUAAAUAAAGCUUAGAUGCAAACCAUUUGUGUUUCUUAUAUGAAUUAUAAUAGCUAAAUGUGUUAGGUAAAUAAAAUCAACAGCUCUAGCUUUGAAAGGGAUAUUUAUGGUCUACUUUUACUUGUUUCUUCCAAACCUGUAAUCCAUAUGGACGCAAGGGAGUCGCAGUGGCAGUUUUUAAACUGUUAUGUCCCUUAAAGGAAUACUGGACUAAUCCACUCAGACACGGUGGCUGAAAAUAUCUCACUGACUCCAUUUCAUCCUGAAACCACUGCAGUAGAAGUAUAAAGUGGAAUAAUGUUCAUCCACAUCUUGGGCACAGAUUGACAAGUCAUAUAAAUAUAAAUACAUAUUGUUGUUAUCUAUAAAGGUGUAUAUUGUAUCACUGAGGAAAUUGCUGUAAAUGGUGUAUGUAUGCACUACUGUCUCCAUAAACUAUCAUGUUUGGUCUUCAGCAUCUUUAUUAAAUGGUGUGCCACAAGGGUCAAAUAUUAGCCCAAUCCAGUUCUCUGUGUACACAAUGUUUUGAUAGCUCUUAUCAUUUUUUAUGCCGAUGACACACAGCUGUAUUUUCUAUUUUCUGUUAUGCAUAAUUAUUUAACUCUAACUGGCCCGCCUGCAUGAAAUGAUAAAUCCAUUGAAUUACAUCCUUCUUUCAGCCUAAAGAUUUGGUUCCAAGGUGUUUGUUGUUAUAACAACCUCCAUAA